UACGGGGGGUGCGAGCGUUGUCCGGAAUCACUGGGCGUAAAGGGCGCGUAGGUGGUUUGAUAAGGGUGUGGUGAAAGCCCGGGGCUCAACCGUGGAACUGCUGGGCAUACUGGACAUCUCGAGGCACUCAGGGGCGAGCGGAACAAGUGGAGGAGCGGUGAAAUGCGUAGAUAUCACUUGGAACGCCAAUGGUGAAGACAGCUCGCUGGGGGUGUCCUGACGCUGAGGCGCGAAAGCCAGGGGAGCGAACGGG
rnacentral:rRNA from 1 species